AUGGCACACCGUGAGGAAGUCACUUGCUGAUGCGCCCCGUUGGAGACUGCUGUGUGUUGCCCCCUUUGUCCCAGCUUACUGACUGCUGUUGCUCAGCAUCCCGAUUGUAAUUUCACAGAGUUCUCUUAAUGUUUCAAAGCUUGCUUAUUUGCGGCAUUUCUGCCCAACAUACUUCUGCCCAAUACUUCCUUGCCAAAUGCCUCGUCAUCUAAUUAGUGACGCGCAUGCAUGGAUUAACGAGAUUCCUACUGACCCUAUCUACUAUCCAGUGAAACCACAGCCAAGGGAACGGGCUUGGCAGAAUCAGUGGGGGAAAGAAGACCCCGGUGAGCUUGACUUGCGUCCAACUCUGUGAAGAGACAUGGCGGGUGUAUUAAUUAAUGGGAGGCGGGAAUCGCCCUUCGGGGUCUCUCGUUCGACAAUGAAAGACCACUCCCAUCAUUGUUUCUUUACUUAUUCAGUGAAGCGGGAACUGUCAAUUAUUUUCCAUGUUGACAUUAAGCACACGUUAGUGCGUUGGUCUCACCCCGUGUGUGGCUGGCGUGCCGGCGUCUUGGUCGCAACUGUCUGGCCAGGGCUAGUGGUAUGUGUGUUUUGCCCUCUACUGCCUGUAGGCUGUUGCCGCAAGGUGGCAGUCCAUGGCUGGUAGACGGUGGGCGCGUGUGCCCGGUCUUGGUGCUAUCAGGCAGGUUUGGCGACGUGCGACCCGAUCUGAAGACAGUGUCAGGCGGGGAGUUUGACUGGGGCGGUACAUCUGUCAAAUCGUAACGCAGGUGUCCCAAGGUGAGCUCAGCCAGGACAGAAACCUGGCGUAGAGUAAAAGGGCAAAAGCUUACUUGAUUUUGAUUUUCAGUACGAAUUCAGACCGUGAAAGCGUGGCCUAGCGAUCCUUUUGAUCAACCGAUAUUCAGAUUUUGAAGCAAGCGGUGUCAGAAAAGUAACCACAGGGGUAACUGGCUUGCAGCGGCCAAGCGUUCAUAGCGACAUCGUUUUUGAUCCACCGCUGUCGGCUCUUCCUAUCAUUGUGAGAUAGGUUAUUUUUACCCUACUGAUGGUUGAACAGUGUAAACAGUGAAGUACAAUCUGAUCGUUGCAAUGGUAAUUCUGAUUAGUACGACAGGAACCGCAGGGUAAGACAUUUGGUCCAUGUGUCUGGUCGAGCGGCCAAUGGUGCGAAGCUACCAUCUGAUGGAUUAAGACUGAACGCCUCUAAGUCUGAAUCCUGUCCAGAGAUGCGCAACGAUACUGUUUGGCCUGCCACGUGGUUGGGCAGAUAUAGUACUUUCCGGUCAGGUUUCAUUCGGAUGAAACCAUCGUGCCCUACCGAACCUGGUCGGUCUGGUAUUGUUAUGCCAGAGCUGUGAACAUAAACACAUGCACCGGGCCAUUUUGUUGUGGGGAUCGACACGAUAUCCAAUUGUGGUGUGAGCGUGGUGGCACUAAAUCAUGUGUAGCCGACUUAGAGUUUUUUCGGGGAGACUUGAGUAUUCGCGCAGCUAUCACAAUACGAGGUAUUAAGUCCUACCCCUAUCCGACGUAAUGAUUU
rnacentral:ncRNA from 1 species